rnacentral:rRNA from 1 species
UACGUAGGGUGCGAGCGUUGUCCGGAAUUAUUGGGCGUAAAGAGCUCGUAGGCGGUGUGUCACGUCGGCCGUGAAAACCUGCAGCUUAACUGUGGGCGUGCGGUCGAUACGGGCAUCACUGGAGUUCGGCGAGGGGAGGACUGAAUUCCUGGUGUAGCGGUGAAAUGCGCAGAUAUCAGGAGGAACACCGGUGGCGAAGGCGGGUCUCUGGGCCGAUACUGACGCU